CCGGGAUAGCUCAGUCGGUAGAGC
rnacentral:tRNA from 1 species